UCAGAAUAACUUUUAAAAAGUCAAAAUUUAAAAAAUAUUUUAAAAUGAAACUAACUCUGCUUUUCCUCACGGUUUUGUGGUUUUUGCCAUAGUGUCCCAGGCAUCCGCAAGUGAAGAUCAUGAAUCUUCUGAUAUGGGCACUUCCGAAGGACCUUCUCCACCACGUAGAGGCGCAAGACAUCCACGUGGAAGAAACGGUACACGUCACGGAGGUAAAGGCCGUAGAGGCGGCAAGGGACCUAGAACUUCCACGGCAGGUCCCGAAGAAGAUUAAGAUGGAAAACCUGGCAAACUACACAAUAUAACAAAAUAAUAUUUUUAACCAGUUCUAUUGGAUAAAUGUUAAAAUAAAAAACUACGCAAUCAA